AUAAAAAAUAGCCAAAUCCCAGGGUGACCGGAGAUGGAAAACCACGGGACUUGAUUUCACCUCUCUUUGAUAGUCGGCCGGGUUGCAGGA
rnacentral:ncRNA from 1 species